AUGCUUGCACUUUGACUUAUCGAGUUCUUUCUUGAGUGCCUUGAGAUCUUCAUGAUAGACCGGACACCGAUCCACUCCACCGCCGCAUGAGCAGUUUUUGAGGUUUGGCGAUUUCUUGAGGCGUCGAUUUUCCAUGUCUUCGAGAAUUAGCUCACGACGUUCCGCAAGAAGGUCCGGUAAUAUGCCGUCGAUGAGACAAAACAAAAACAAACCGAUGGCUGCAAUGGCAAAUACCAAAUCCGCUGUAUCCACUGUCAAUGCCAUUACUCCCCCUGAUUCACAACAAAUAAACUUCUAGCUAAGGAGAUAUCUAAGAAACUUGGACAAGAUAUGUAUUAAUAUAUAUAACUAAGAUUUGGAUGACUUCGAAUUUCUUCCGAUGUGGUUCAGUUUUGGAUUUAGUUUCCUGAAUUUAAUAUACAAAUACAAUCCUAUCCCCACUCUAAUUAAACCUAAACCCUUAUCAAAUAUUGCAAGAAAUAAAAUAACAACUGACCCCGAAAAAACAUCACUCAUGA